AGUCAAUGCUCGCAAGAGUGAACUAGCUAACUGAAAUCACUAAUUGAUCUUAUCAAUGUGAUAUAGUAAGGGAAAACAAAUGAUAUUACUUUACUUAUAGUGUUGUCUAAUUCUGGUGCCAGAAGACUCGGUAAUACCAGUAACGCGAACGUUAGUCAUCUUUAUCAGGCGUAAAGGGUUUGUAGGCAGCUUUUAAAAAAAAUUCUUAACUAUAUUGUCCUUUUUUAUUUUUUUUUUUAUUAAAAAAAAAGACAAAAAAGGAAUAAAUAGUUAAGUCUCUAAUUUGAGAGCUAGAAUCAAAUAGAAGUUAAAAAGUAUAAUACUUAGAGAAGGGUUGAUAUUCUUAGAACCUAAGGGGAAUACUAAAGGUGUAAACAACUAACUAUAAAUGAUUGACGCUGAGACACGAAGGUGAGGAUAGGAAAUAGGAUUAGAUACCCCGGUACCCCUCUCUGUAAACGAUGAAUGGUAGUUAUUAGUGUAUUACUGGUAACGAAGCUAACGCGUUAACCAUUCCGCCUUGGGAGUACGAUUGCAAAGUUGAAAACAAAAAAAUUAGUCGGUCUCGGAGCAAACGGAGUGAAGCAUGUUA
rnacentral:rRNA from 1 species